AGAGCGUAUGGUGGAUGCCUUGGCACUAAGAGCCGAUGAAAGACGUGAUAAGCUGCGAAAAGCUUCGGGGAGGAGCAAAUAUCCUAUGAUCCGGAGAUCUCUGAAUGGGGAAACCCACCUGAGCAAACCUCAGGUAUCCUAACGCCAAUACAUAACGUUAGGAGGGGAACCCGGUGAACUGAAACAUCUAAGUAGCCGGAGGAAGAGAAAACAACAUGUGAUUCUGGAAGUAGCGGCGAGCGAAACCGGAAGAGCCCAAACCGGAGUGCGUGCACUCUGGGGUUCGGACCGCGGAAUUGAUCCAAAAGACUUAACAGAACGGCCUGGGAAGGCCGGCCAGAGAGGGUGAAAGCCCCGUAAGUGAAAGGUCGAUUGGCAUGGCGGUAUCCAGAGUAGGUCGAGACACGUGGAACCUUGACUGAAUAUGCGGGGACCACCCCGUAAGGCUAAAUACUCCUUAGUGACCGAUAGCGCAUAGUACUGUGAAGGAAAGGUGAAAAGGACCCCGGGAGGGGAGUGAAAAAGAACCUGAAACCAUAUGUUUACAAGCUGUGGAACCACUUUAAAUGUGGAACCGCGUACUUUUUGUAGAACGGUCCGGCGAGUUACGCUGGCUGGCGAGGUUAAGUCCUUAAGGGAUGGAGCCGAAGGGAAACCAAGUCUGAAUAGGGCGAAGAGUCAGUCGGAGUAGACCCGAAACCGGGUGACCUAUCCAUGUCCAGGAUGAAGUUGCCGUAAAAGGCAAUGGAGGUCCGAACCCACAUCCGUUGAAAAGGGUGGGGAUGAGGUGUGGAUAGGGGAGAAAUUCCAAUCGAACCCGGAGAUAGCUGGUUCUCCUCGAAAUAGCUUUAGGGCUAGCCUCAUACAAGUCUUGCGGAGGUAGAGCACUGAAUUUCCUAGGGGGCGUCAAAGCUUACCGAAGAAUAUCAAACUCCGAAUGCCGCGUAGAUGGUGUAUGGGAGUCAGACUGCACGAGAUAAGUUGGGUAGUCAAAAGGGAAAGAGCCCAGACCUGCAGCUAAGGUCCCAAAAUGUGUGUUAAGUGGAAAAGGAUGUGGGAUUUCGAAGACAACUAGGAUGUUGGCUCAGAAGCAGCCAUACAUUCAAAGAGUGCGUAAUAGCUCACUAGUCGAGAGGUCCUGCGCCGAAAAUGUCCGGGGCUGAAACACACUACCGAAGCUCAGGAAUGUACUUGUACAUUGGUAGAGGAGCAUUGUAUACGGGAAGAAGCAGUACCGAUAAGGAGCUGUGGACUGUAUAGAAGAGAGAAUGCCGGAAUGAGUAGCGAGAGGAAGGUGAGAAUCCUUCCGGCCGAAUAUCUAAGGUUUCCAGAGUAAAGCUGAUCUGCUCUGGGUAAGUCGGGGCCUAAGGCCAGGUCGAAAGACGUAACCGAUGGACAACAGGUUGAAAUUCCUGUACCGCGAUAUAACAGAACUGUGGGGACACGUGUGGAGAGCACAAGCCGGGAAUGGAAAGCCCGGCGCAAGCNNNNNNNNNNNNNNNNNNNNNNNNUAAGAGUAGGGAAGAGUGUGAGCCAUGCGUCAAGAAAAGCCGCUAUUGUUUGUAUCGCGCCCGUACCGUAAACCGACACAGGUGGAUGAGGAGAGAAUCCUAAGGCCGACGGGAGAAGCAUUGUUAAGGAACUCGGCAAAAUGACUCCGUAACUUCGGGAGAAGGAGUGCCACUGAGAGGUGGCCGCAGAGAAUUGGCCCAAGCAACUGUUUAGCAAAAACACAGGUCUAUGCAAAACCGAAAGGUGAAGUAUAUGGGCUGACGCCUGCCCGGUGCUGGAAGGUUAAGGGGAGAGGUUAGCGCAAGCGAAGCUUUGAACUUAAGCCCCAGUAAACGGCGGCCGUAACUAUAACGGUCCUAAGGUAGCGAAAUUCCUUGUCGGGUAAGUUCCGACCCGCACGAAAGGCGUAAUGAUUUGGGCACUGUCUCAACAAUGCACCCGGUGAAAUUGAAAUACCAGUGAAGAUGCUGGUUACCUGCGCCAGGACGGAAAGACCCCAUGGAGCUUUACUCCAGCUUGAUACUGGGAUUCGGUAUUGCAUGUACAGGAUAGGUGGGAGGCUAAGAAGCGGUAACGCCAGUUGCCGUGGAGCUGCUGUUGGGAUACCACCCUUGCAGUACUGGGUUUCUAACCAGCGGCCUUAAACAGGUCGGGGGACAAUGUCAGGUGGGGAGUUUGACUGGGGCGGUCGCCUCCGAAAGGGUAUCGGAGGCGCUCAAAGGUUCCCUCAGAAUGGUCGGAAACCAUUCGAAGAGUGCAAAGGCAGAAGGGAGCUUGACUGCGACACCGACGGGUGGAGCAGGUACGAAAGUAGGACUUAGUGAUCCGGUGGUAUAAAGUGGGAUUGCCAUCGCUCAACGGAUAAAAGCUACCCUGGGGAUAACAGGCUUAUCACUCCCAAGAGUUCACAUCGACGGAGUGGUUUGGCACCUCGAUGUCGGCUCAUCGCAUCCUGGGGCUGAAGUAGGUCCCAAGGGUUGGGCUGUUCGCCCAUUAAAGCGGUACGCGAGCUGGGUUCAGAACGUCGUGAGACAGUUCGGUCCCUAUCCGGCGUGGGCGUAGGAUAUUUGAGAGGAGCUGUCCUUAGUACGAGAGGACCGGGAUGGACUGGCCGCUGGUUGAUCUGUUGUUCCGCCAGGAGCAUAGCAGAGUAGCCAAGCCGGGACGGGAUAAACGCUGAAGGCAUCUAAGCGUGAAGCCCCCCUCAAGAUGAGAUAUCCCAACGAAAGUUGU
rnacentral:rRNA from 1 species